GAGCAUAGGCGGUAUGAGGCCUGGCUUUCGCGGCCGGCUGAAGUAUUUUUUUCACCCAUGUCUUUUGCGCACUUGUUGUUUCCUGGGCGGGUUCGCCCGCCACCAGGACCAAACCAUAAACCUUUUUUUCUUAUGCAGUUUCCAUCAGCGUCAGUAAAAACAAUGUAAUUAUUACAACUUUCAACAACGGAUCUCUUGGUUCUGGCAUCGAUGAAGAACGCAGCGAAAUGCGAUACGUAGUGUGAAUUGCAGAAUUCAGUGAAUCAUCGAAUCUUUGAACGCACAUUGCGCCCUUUGGUAUUCCAAAGGGCAUGCCUGUUCGAGCGUCAUUUGUACCUUCAAGCUUUGCUUGGUGUUGGGCGUUUUUUUGUCUCCCUCUUUCUGGGAGACUCGCCUUAAAACGAUUGGCAGCCGGCCUACUGGUUUCGGAGCGCAGCACAUUUUUUGCGCUUUGUAUCAGGAGAAAAGGACGGUACUCCAUCAAGACUCUACAUUUUUCACUUUUGACCUCGGAUCAGGUAGGGAUACCCGCUGAACUUAAGCAUAUCAAAAGCGGGGAAGGAAAAUC
rnacentral:rRNA from 1 species